CUAUUCCUACGGGGGGCAGCAGUGAGGAACAUUGGUCAAUGGGCGGGAGCCUGAACCAGCCAAGCCGCGUGAGGGAAGAAGGCACAGUGUAUUGUAAACUUCUUUUGUCAGGGAAUAAAGGCGGGGACUAGUCCCUGGAUGCGGGUAUCUGAAGAAAAAGCAUCGGCUAAUUCCGUGCCAGCAGCCGCGGUAAUACGGAGGAUGCGAGCGUUAUCCGGAUUUAUUGGGUUUAAAGGGUGCGCAGGCGGCCUGUUAAGUCAGUGGUAAAA
rnacentral:rRNA from 1 species